rnacentral:rRNA from 1 species
AAACUAACAAGGAUUCCCCUAGUAGCGGCGAGCGAAGCGGGAAAAGCUCAAAUUUGUAAUCUGGCGUCUUCGACGUCCGAGUUGUAAUCUCGAGAAGUGUUUUCCGUGAUAGACCGCAUACAAGUCUCUUGGAACAGAGCGUCAUAGUGGUGAGAACCCAGUACACGAUGCGGAUGCCUAUUACUUUGUGAUACACUUUCGAAGAGUCGAGUUGUUUGGGAAUGCAGCUCAAAUUGGGUGGUAAAUUCCAUCUAAAGCUAAAUAUUGGCGAGAGACCGAUAGCGAACAAGUACCGUGAGGGAAAGAUGAAAAGCACUUUGGAAAGAGAGUUAACAGUACGUGAAAUUGUUGGAAGGGAAACACAUGCAGUGAUACUUGCUAUUCGGGGCAACUCGAUUGGCAGGCCCGCAUCAGUUUUCCGGGGCGGAAAAGCAUAGAGAGAAGGUAGCAGUUUCGGCUGUGUUAUAGCUCUUUAUUGGAUUCGCCCUGGGGGAUUGAGGAACGCAGCGUGCUUUUUGCAUGAGCUUCGGCUUAUCCACGCUUAGGAUGCGGGUUUAUGGCUGUAUAUGACCCGUCUGU